rnacentral:lncRNA from 1 species
GUUGCUUGGUGUUCUAGGUCGCCAUGUUGGGCGGAGCGCUUCUGCUCACGCCCGGCCGUCGCCAUCUUGAGCUGGGGUGUCGUCACAGCCAUUUCUCAUCAGGACCUCUGUUCUGAAGUGCUUGGUGCCAGACCUCUGCCACAUCCCCAGGCUAAAACUUGCUUGUGCUUUGAAGAGAAGUGGUCUUUUUAAGGUCAAUAGCCUUGGGCCAGAAAUGAAUUCUCAAGCAGAGGCCUCAGCAGGUGAUGAGAAAGGCAUGAGAACAGGCUGGAAGGAGAAUGAGGCACCGAGAGGCCCAAGCUGAAAGAAAUAAAGACUUCCAGUACAUCACCCUGACAGUAAAGAGCGAAGGAAAAGUGACGUCUGAGAACUGCAAUGUGCUCUGCUUGAAGAAAAGGAAGUUGGGUUGUGAUAAUAUAAUUCUGGAUUCCAUGGAAUGUUGUGGCUCAUGGAAGAGGCAAGAGAUAAAAGACAGAGAAACAAUAUAGUGUGAUCACCAUCUCAGUGAAUGAAAUCAUCAUGUACCCAAGACCCUAUGCCAUGCCUUGACCUCUCCUUCUUCAUUUCUCACUUCCAUUAGGCUACCAGGUACCAUUAAUUACAUAUCCUCAGUUAUUAUCUCCUACCCCCUGAAACUGUCAGAACAUCAACUCAUAAUUUCUGUGCUGGACACUUGGAAUAGAACAAUGAACAGAUAGGCAAGAAACUUUCUUGUCAUGAAAUCUAUGCUUUAAAAGAGGAAGAAAAAUAGGAGUUCCCACUGUGGCUCAGCAGAUUAAGGACCCAGCAUUGUCUCCAUGAGGAUGGGUUUAAUCCCUGGCCUUGCUCAGUGGGUUAAGGAUCUGGUGUUGCUGCAAGCUGUAGCAUAGGUCAUAGAUGUGGCCCAGAUCUGUGGUGUAGGCAGAUAGCUAUAGCUCUGAUUUAACCCCAGCCCGGGAACUUCUACAUGAUGCAGGUGUAGCUCUAAAAAGCAAUAACUAAAUAACUAAAUAAAUAAAUAAAUAAUCAAACA